AUGGCCGCGCUCCGCCCCGCCCCCCGCGCCGCCAUCGGCGACCGCGGGCCGGCCGCCGUCCGCCGCGGCUCCCGCCGGACCUCGUACCUCUCCUCCGCGUCCCCGUGCUGGCAGCAGGGAAAUAUCUUGAACCGGAAAUCCAAAUGCACCACCAGAAAGCUACUGACUACUGUUACUGGUGCAAAGGGUGCUGAAUCUGAAUUUGAUAGCGUCAAUGCACCACUUGAGCCCCAAACAUGGGAAGGGAGCUUCUUGUGUGGCUUAUUGAAGAACCAGCCUCAAAUUUUCCUAGUAGCUGCAGCAAAGCAACUUCAGCGUCUGUCUAUUCAAAGGAAAGACACGCUGACCCGCUGGGAAUAUAGUAUCGGUUCUUCCGAGGACUGUCUUCACAGGAGAAUUGCUGAAAUGAAGGACCAGGAGUGCAGGACUGCUAUUGAGGACGUCAUGUACAUGUUGAUUGUUCAUAAAUAUUCCAAGAUUGAGGUUCCGAUGGUUCCGAAUCUAUCAAAAAUCAUCAGUAAUAGAAGAUUACAUAUAUGGCCACCAAGGGAGGCAGAUCUUGAAUCCAUUCAUGGACCUGAGGUGCUAGGUCAAAUUAAGGAGCACUUGACUAGCAUUAUCAGAUGGGUGCACAGGAAUGGCCCCAAGAUCAAUCGCUCAACACUUCGUGUCAAAAGACUGCAAUUAGCUCGGAUCUAUUCUGCUUCAAUAAUGUAUGGGUACUUCCUCAAAUCUGUCGCUGUAAGGCAUCGCUUGGACCUUACUUUUGCUCGGUCAGAAGAAUGUUUACAGCCAAUUCAGCUUCUCAAUGCUCAACUUGCAACUACCCGUAAAAAGGAACAGCAAGAGGCCUUUGACGGUUCUGUGGAAACGGUGCCUUCCUCGAAACCGCGGUCUGUCGUUGAUCCUCAUGACCUGAAGAGUUACAUGAUGGGCUUCGACCCAAAGACCUUGGAGUUAUGCGCGAAGCUGCGCACAAACGAGGCUUGUAAUCUCAUCGAGAAGCACAGCUGGGCACUCUUUGGAGAAAAGAUGGGCUCCACGGAGAUUGACGAGGCGGUGAUACUUGAUCCGGCAUCCCUGAAAAGACUGCUGCUUGAAGCCAUUGCAUUUGGUUCCUUCCUAUGGGAUAGCGAAGACUAUGUUGAUGAGAUAUACAAGUUGCAGGACAGCUGA
rnacentral:rRNA from 1 species